rnacentral:lncRNA from 12 species
GCCUGACGAAACGCAGCGCAGAAAAUUAGCCCGUAAAACAGCUAUAAAAUCUGAGUCACGGCAUCAUAAAAAUGCCAACUGACCAAGAACAAUAGAUAUUGCAAGCAGCCAGGAACAGGGCCGGUUCCCAUACGCACAGGCCUGGAAAUACCCUUCCCUCUCAGAACCUCCUUGCCAUGCUGUUAAUGGAGCCAGCUCUGAAAUAAACACCAGCGUAUGGAAAAGGAUGGAUCCACCCUGGAAGGUGGAGUUGGAGAAUUGCAGAAGAUGGGACGGAAAAGACAGACCAAAGACUAAAUAUAUUGCCUGCUUGUCAUGGGGCGGAGGAAUAGGACAAUGUGAAUUAUAAACAAACAGGAUGGAAAUUCAGAAAUAUUAACACAGGAUGAGAUCACAGUUGAUUGUUGUUUCUUUUUUCUUUUCUGUUUUGAACGGUUGUUAACUAAUACAUGGUUAAAAAACAAAAUUAAAGUGCAAAUAUUAGCUAUAUUACUUAUAAUGCUUCUGCUCUAGCAGGAUAAAUACUUGCCCAACAGUAGCUUCAGUGAAAAGGACAUGAAUUGUUUUCUUCACAGAGAACUUGGGGUUUUGUGAUUCUGUGACAAUGUUCAUGUUCUCCGUGAUAUCUCUGGGAUUCAGCCGCUGUCCAUCUUUCUUCUUUGUAUCAUUGGCACGUUGACUCUUAAUCCUCUUGACUGUCACUUCAUUAUAUGAUUAUAUGGCUGAAGAAGCUCCAACCAUCACAUGUGUGUGUCCCAAGCAGGAGGGAAGCGGAUGACAAAGUGGCUUUCAUCUGAGAGGUUCCCAUCAGAGAUUCCUCCCCUGGCUGCAGCAGAGGCCAAGAUAAUGAAUCUUUGAUAAAUGGGAGCUGGGUGAGCACAAUUAUCUGUGGCCAAUCAGAACCCAAAGACUGUGGAUGGGCAUGUUGCACCUCAACAAAUUCAAGAUCUCAUCAGCAAAGAAAAGGGGAGAU